GAGGAAUAUUGGGCAAUGCCCGCAAGGGUGACCCAGCAACGCCGCGUGGAGGAUGAAUGUCGUGAGAUUGUAAACUCCUGUUAGAGGGGAAGAAUAGUACCGGUUGGACCGGUAUAUGACUGUACCCUCAGAGAAAGCCCCGGCUAACUACGUGCCAGCAGCCGCGGUAAUACGUAGGGGGCAAGCGUUGUCCGGAUUUACUGGGUGUAAAGGGCGCGCAGGCGGGAUAAAAAGUCAGUGGUGAAAUCCUACAGCUUAACUGUAGAACUGCCUUUGAUACUUUUAUUCUUGAGUUCGGGAGAGAGAGACGGAAUUCCAGGUGUAGUGGUGAAAUACGUAGAUAUCUGGAAGAACACCAGUUGCGAAGGCGGUCUCUUGGUCCGACACUGACGCUGAGGCGCGAAAGCGUGGGGAGCAAACA
rnacentral:rRNA from 1 species